rnacentral:rRNA from 1 species
CGAAUGGCGUAACGAUGGCCACACUGUCUCCUCCUGAGACUCAGCGAAGUUGAAAUGUUUAGUGAAGAUGCAAUCUCCCCGCGGCAAGACGGAAGACCCCAUGAACCUUUACUGUAGCUUUGCAUUGGACUUUGAAUCGGUCUGUGUAGGGAUAGGUGGGAGGGCUGGUGAAACCGGGGACGCUAGUUUCGGUGGAGCCAACCUUGAAAUACCACCCUGAUUUAUUUGAGGUUCUAACCUUGAUCCGUGAAUCCGGAUCGAGGACCGUGCAUGGUGGGCAGUUUGACUGGGGCGGUCUCCUCCCAAAAGGUAACGGAGGAGUACGAAGGUACGCUUAGGGCGGUCGGACAUCGCCCAUAAAGUGCAAUGGCAAAAGCGUGCUUGACUGCGAGACCCACAAGUCGAGCAGGUGCGAAAGCAGGUCAUAGUGAUCCGGUGGUUCUGUAUGGAAGGGCCAUCGCUCAACGGAUAAAAGGUACUCUGGGGAUAACAGGCUGAU